rnacentral:rRNA from 1 species
GUCUACGGCCAUGCCACCUGAACGAGCCCGAUCCCGUCUGAUCUCGGAAGCUAAGCAGGGUCAGGCCUGGUUAGUACUUGGAUGGGAGACCACCUAGGCAGACCGGGACUGGGUGCUGUAGGCU